AUACUCUGGUUUCUCUUCAGAUCAUAUAAAUCUUUCGCCUUUUAUUAAAGAUUUCCGUGGAGAGGAACAUUUAUGAGUUAAAAAAACAAG
ensembl:snRNA U5 U5 spliceosomal RNA